UCUUCCUGGAGAAGUUGGUAGCCCAUGGCUUGGACAGGUGGCAGAGAACUGGAAGACUGUGGAACAGCUUAAUCAUGACUUCAUCCCAUGAGAACUAUCUGAAGUUUCUUUAUAAAAGUGAACAGUGCACAGACUGCUGCUCCAGUCAGGAGGAGCUGGAGAGACCAGCUGGGGUACAGAAGACCAUGCUGACAGAAGUCAUAGGGAGCAGUAAUGCCACAGGACAUUGGCAGAAUGUUCACUGUAAAGGGUGCUCCACAGACCUGCCUGUCAGUGCCUCCAAAGGAUGAUGCUUCCUGUAGGAAGCCUAAACAGUUGUUUCCUAUAUACAUAGAACAAGCAGAUCAUUAUACCCUGAGAACACAGGUCAAUGAGCUUUGUCUCCAAGCUCUUGAAUUUUUUUAUUGGCUUUGAUUUUUGAAGCAGUCACAGCCAGAUUCUUCAUAUGCAGAUCCUUACGCUGACUUGGAUAGCCCACCUUGCAGAGAAGUAAGGGAGAAGCUGCAGUGACACACUUUGGAGCAGGUUUCUUAUCCUUAAUUUCUCUGUCAUUUUAUUUUUUCUCUUUAGAAUAUACAGCACUUCCAAAUUCGUGUUGCUCAGUGAAACUUACUGUUUCAUAUUCAACUCAGGAAUUGUAAUUUUCAGAACUAUAAAAGUGUCAUAGUUCAGAUUAAAAACAAAACAAAAACAACAAACCAGCUCCUGCAGUGAUCCUGACCAGGAGACCUAAGAGGCAGUGAUCCAUGCAAGAGUUAAGCUCAGUGGGUGCAGGCCUGUGCUGUGCUCUGCUGUGUGCUACAUAUCCAGCGUGGCAGUCAGGCUGUGUUAUUUUGCAUAAAUCCCUUGGUCACAGGAUAAACUCAGCCAGCCCUUUGUGACUGAGGCGUCUGCAGGCAGCUUCCACUUGGCGCAGUUGUUUACUCCACAUGCAUGGCCUUGCCUUUACCUACAACUGCAGCAAGACUUUCUCCUGUGAAUAUUCUUUCUGUUUGACGGUAGAAAUGAUGGAGUUGUUGGCUUUUUUUUUUUUUCCUCUUUUCUUUUUCCUGUACAAAGAUCCUGUAAGAGCCUGAAUGACCAUCUUCUAUGGAGAGCUUCUCCCUGGUGUGUUGUGCAUUGAUGGGAUGAUGCUACAUCACUCAGGGUUCUCAGCAUCAAAAGGGAUAAAGAUGUUAUUCUCUUACAAUGUUAGCUUCAAUAACUAGCAUUUUAUAUGACGACUUACAGUAUCUGAACACCUUUCCUAUGGCGAUCAUAAUGGACCAGCACUUCAUGGUGCAAAGCAGCUCCUCCCUUGCCCACACUCAAAGGAAAGCAAAACAAGACAGCAGCAACUUUUGUCCAGAAAAAUGUACAUAAAAACCUGGGUCAUAUUACUCGAUGUUUCAUUGCUGAGUUGUUUUAAUUGGUUUAUUUGGAGAGAAGGUUGGAGGGCGGACUUCAUAUCUCCUAGAGUUCAGGUUCUUCCUUCCCCAGAUAAUGACUAUGACUUAGAUCUUCCUAUCAGCAAAACAGUACCUGCACUUUGAUCCAGCACAGUGCCAAGAAAUGCUGUCAGUCUUGGCUGGCAUUAUAUUUAAUGGGAACUGGAUGUUAGCAGCAUGCUGCCCUUUGAUAUGUUGGCUUGGAGGUGUUACAGCACAAUAGGUAGCACCACGUUUGUGACCCAGUCUUUGAAAGACUGAGGAUCUAUCAAGUGCUACUCUUCUGCAGCUACAUCUCCCGACAGGCUUUGAACAGCAGAAGUUUUGUGCAGUCUUUGGUGUCCUUGGCUGUGUGCACAAAGGCCCAAUACUUUGGCUCAAGUUCUCCUUGUAUUAUCUUGGCAGAAUACCCAGUCUUCAGGAAUCCUAAUCUUUUAUUUAAUCACUUCAUCUUUUCAAUUUCAUCCCUUUCCUAUCCUAAUUCUUUUUUUCUUUUUUUUUUUUUUUCAUUAAAGCCAGUACACAAAGAUCAGGCUGGUCGAAUGUGUUCUGUAGCUGUCAAUCAAUAGGCACAAAAAUACAAAAUGUGAAUAGUUAAAUCAGCAGACUUGCUUGCUGGAGUUAUCUGCAUGGCAGAGAUGUCAGAGUAUUGUUUCCAAGCCUGACUUCUACAUGCAGAGAGUAGCCGAGCAUGUCCUGGCCUCUUUUAUCUUCCUCAGGAGAGCAGCCAAGUGGCAUAAUCAAUUCUUCCAGGCUUUUGUCUUUCACCUGAUGUUUACUUUGCUCACUGCCUAAGGCUUUGUUGUUCUUCUGCCCCUUAAAAUGUAUUUACUUUCUGAUGUUAUGAAAAGUAAAUGUAAGUUUUGCAUGAUGAUAUAUAUAUAUGUUAUUAGACUAUAUCAACACAGAAGCAGGAGGUUUCUCCUUUGCUCAAAUUACUGCAAAAGUAAACUCUCCUCAUUCAUUGAGAAAUAGUCAGGCAAACAGAAAAAUUAGUGGUAAAAAAGUCCAAGAACAAGGAAUAGCCUUCUUUGUACAAGCUAAUGAGAGAAUUUUAGUCAUGCAGACAGUUUUGAUGAGCUCAUUUUAUGGGUCUGUGGUAUAUAUUAUUGCACCUAACAGAGGUCAAACAUUAGAGAUGUGACUCUUCCUGCAGCUCCUUGUAUUAAAAGAAAAAAAAAAAAAUUAGGACUGAGAAACCCAUAAAACAUUUAAAUAAAUGCAAGAUGAUUUAGCUGGCACAGCCACAGCACGUAAAGCAAAAUUGAAGUCAGAAAGAAGAACAAGCUAGACUUCACUGUCAAUUGUUUUGUUUUCUCACUGAUUUAAGUUCAUAGGGCCAGGGUGCCAUAAGAGGAUAAUGGUGACAAUCAUGACAAGAAAACCCUUCCUUUCAUUCACAUCACUUUUCUUGCAAAGUCAAAGUCACAAAUUUGGGUUAAUAGACAGACAACAUUUCUUCAAGAGCAAUACUUUUGUAAAGUAUUUAUUUGGUACAAUCAUUCAGAAAAUAACAAGUAUUGCUAGUGAAAUAAAAGGCUGAG